rnacentral:rRNA from 1 species
GAUGAACGCUGGCGGCGUGCCUAACACAUGCAAGUCGUACGAAAAAGAAAUUUUUAGUGGCAAACGGGUGAGUAACGCGUGAGAAUUUACUCUUAUGGUAGAGGAUAACUUUUAGAAAUAUUAGCUAAAACUCUACAUGCUUUUAAUAAGUGAAAAAAGAAAUUUGCCUAAGAAAAAGCUCGCGUCUGAUUAGCUAGUUGGUAGGGUAAAGGCCUACCAAGGCGAUGAUCAGUAGCUGGUCUGAGAGGAUGAUCAGCCACACUGGAACUGAGACACGGUCCAGACUCCUACGGGAGGCAGCAGUGAGGAAUGUUCUGCAAUGGGCGAAAGCCUGACAGAGCAACGCCGCGUGAGGGAAGAAGGCCUUCGGGUUGUAAACCUCUUUUCUCAAGGAGGAAGAUCUGACGUUACUUGAGGAAUAAGCAUCGGCUAACCCUGUGCCAGCAGCCGCGGUAA